UUUGUAGUUGGCGUAUGUUGGAAGUGUGUAUGUGAGUUUGCUCCAUGCAGACUGAAGAUGCCAGACUCCCACUAUGCAGCAAAAUUACUUACCGUCAUCUAUUUCAGGGUAUCCCAUUAUUGUCAUUGAGUAGUUGGGAAAAGAUGCAGAGCUGCCAGGGAGAUGGCUGUGUUUUAGCACCUGGCAUGGAGAGCGGGAGCAUUUUCUUGGACCACCCAGAAGUCUUCCAGAAGAUGUUAUAUCCCUGUGGUUGGCUGCUGAAACUCAACCAGCUGCUUCCUUUCCCUUGAUCACUACAUGGAUGUGGACAGAAUACCCCACAAGUAAAGUGUGCAUCCUGAGCAAUGCAAGUAAAACACUGAGGUCACUGGAGGAAGAAGAGGACAAAAGGAGAGGAGCUGAAUAGCAGCAGUGAUUACCUCCAGGGAAGCAGCAGAUAAUGAGCAGCGUAACUGCUAAACUGUUUCCCCAAAAUGUUUCUGGCUGUGAAUAAAUUUUCUUGGUGGUUGUUUCUUUAA